rnacentral:lncRNA from 1 species
CGGAAGGAGAUCGCUUACUGUAGAAGCUCGGAUGAAGACCAGUUGCCGUGGAAGCUCGGAUGGAGACCGCUUAUUGUAGAAGCCCGGAUGAAGUCUGCUUGCAAUAGAAGUUCGGAGUAGAAAUCCGACUGCUAGAGUCCGUCCGUUGUAGAAGUUCGUUUGGAAUCCAUCCGCUGUAGAAGUUCGGACGGAGUCCGAUUCUUGUAGGAGCUCGGAUGAAAUUCGGAAGGCAGUCGACCACCGUAGAAAUUUGGAUGGAGUCUGGUUACUAUAGAAGUCCUACUGCUGGUGAAGCUCGGACAUUGACGAAGUCUAGAAGAAGCUCGGAAUAAAGUUGAUCGUGAUAGG